rnacentral:tRNA from 1 species
AGUAUUUUAUAAUCUAUGUUACGGCCAUAGAAUAAGCAUAAGUAUGCUAGAUACUU